GCAAUUGAACGAAAGUCUGACGGAGCAACGCCGCGUGAACGAUGAAGCCUUCGAGUCGUAAAGUUCUGUUGUUAGGGAAGAACAAGUACCCAGAGUAACUGCUGGUACCUUGACGGUACCUAACCCAGAAAGCCACGGCUAACUACGUGCCAGCAGCCGCGGUAAUACGUAGGUGGCAAGCGUUGUCCGGAAUUAUUGGGCGUAAAGCGCGCGCAGGUGGUUUCUUAAGUCUGAUGUGAAAGCCCACGGCUCAACCGUGGAGGGUCAUUGGAAACUGGGGAACUUGAGUGCAGAAGAGGAAAGUGGAAUUCCAAGUGUAGCGGUGAAAUGCGUAGAGAUUUGGAGGAACACCAGUGGCGAAGGCGACUUUCUGGUCUGUAACUGACACUGAGGCGCGAAAGCGUGGGGAGCGAACAGGAUUAGAUACCCUGGUAGUCCACGCCGUAAACGAUGAGUGCUAAGUGUUAGAGGGUUUCCGCCCUUUAGUGCUGCAGCUAACGCAUUAAGCACUCCGCCUGGGGAGUACGGUCGCAAGACUGAAACUCAAAGGAAUUGACGGGGGCCCGCACAAGCGGUGGAGCAUGUGGUUUAAUUCGAAGCAACGCGAAGAACCUUACCAGGUCUUGACAUCCCACUGCCCGGUAUAGAGAUAUACCUUUCCCUUCGGGGACAGUGGUGACAGGUGGUGCAUGGUUGUCGUCAGCUCGUGUCGUGAGAUGUUGGGUUAAGUCCCGCAACGAGCGCAACCCUUGAUCUUAGUUGCCAGCAUUUAGUUGGGCACUCUAAGGUGACUGCCGGUGACAAACCGGAGGAAGGUGGGGAUGACGUCAAAUCAUCAUGCCCCUUAUGACCUGGGCUACACACGUGCUACAAUGGAUGGUACAAAGGGCUGCGAGACUGCGAAGUCAAGCCAAUCCCAUAAAACCAUUCUCAGUUCGGAUUGCAGGCUGCAACUCGCCUGCAUGAAGCUGGAAUCGCUAGUAAUCGUGGAUCAGCAUGCCACGGUGAAUACGUUCCCGGGCCUUGUACACACCGCCCGUCACACCACGAGAGUUUGUAACACCCGAAGCCGGUGGGGUAACCGUAAGGAGCCAGCCGUCUAAGGUGACAAGAAGU
rnacentral:rRNA from 1 species